UACGUAGGGGGCUAGCGUUGUCCGGAAUCAUUGGGCGUAAAGCGCGCGUAGGCGGCCCGGUAAGUCCGCUGUAAAAGUCAAAGGCUCAACCUUUGAAUGUCAGUGGAUACUGCCGGGCUAGAGUCCGGAAGAGGCGAGUGGAAUUCCUGGUGUAGCGGUGGAAUGCGCAGAUAUCAGGAGGAACACCAACGGCGAAGGCAGCUCGCUGGGACGGUACUGACGCUGAGACGCGAAAGCGUGGGGAGCGAACAGG
rnacentral:rRNA from 1 species